AAAGCAAUAGGUAUGGAAAGAAAUUUUAAUGCAUAGUUUCUUAAAAUUAAACUCAUUUGAAAUAUUAAACAAAUAAACAAAGAGAAAAGAAAAAUUAAAAGAUCAUAUUGUCAAAUAAUUUGAAAUUUUUCUUAUAUGAAAUGCCAAAUUAUGAAAGGAAAGAUAGAGAGAGAAAAAGGAAACAAAGAGAAAAUAAAAAUUUUGAAAAUAUAGUAGAGAUAAAAUGACUAAAUUGCCCAUGUAUUAAAAGACAAAAAUAUCCUUUUUUGAGGUAGCUGGUAACCGAUACCUCUCCCAAAGUGACCUACUAUUGCAGGUAACAAUUUUAAAAAAAUUAAAUUUGAGCCGUUGAAUACGCGUGAAUGAACAGUAACGGAAAAAAAAAAAAAAAAGUAUAGAAGCAUUACUCAAACUCAUAUUAAAAGAAUUUCACUUUAGUCCCUGGGCAUAUUUACUAUAUCAGAGGUAAAACUAUUGCCUACACCCAGUGUGGUACAUCUCACAAUCCUUUAUCUCAUCACAUAUAAUUUCAAGCUUAUGGCCCACUGANAAAAAAAAAAAAAAAGUAUAGAAGCAUUACUCAAAC
rnacentral:lncRNA from 1 species